GCAGGUGCAAAAUUAUUGGCAAAAUCCAAUAGGGUUGAAUAAUAUUUCAGACAAGAUAUAUGCACAAAAUGAGUACAAUGCUGCCGCGCCUCAUCAACAGAGGUUUAUCUCUUCUUUCCUUUCAAAAUACCUUUAUUCUGAAGGUGUAGUCAGUGUAAGGAAAGAACCAAAAUCAUAUAUUAAUAUUUCCACAUCCACAGCUAUUGAUUUUCACUUGGAGGGAGGGAGGGAGAGAAAAAGCACACUCAACUCGUCAAUUUUCUGACCCGUUGCUCAGCAAGACUAGCAUACUUGUUCUGCGGUUCAAGAACAAGAGCAUGCUUAAAAUCUGCAGAAC
rnacentral:lncRNA from 1 species